rfam:Thiorhodovibrio sp. 970 genomic scaffold Thi970scaffold_6, whole genome shotgun sequence.
AGAGUCCCGCCCGGGUAAUCGUGAGCCGCGAGCCCGGUAUCAAGCCUUACGGCGCGAAGGGUAACUGACGCGUCGGUGCGUAGGCAUGAAAACAGGCGAGGUGCAAAGGUAGCGGGUGAAGCCGCCCCUGAAGGUGUUAGAAAA